rnacentral:misc_RNA from 1 species
GUGUAGUGAACGGAUUAAUGACUACGCGCCAGUGACGUCGUGCGACGGAGCGCGGAGGGCGGGGCAAUAACGCCGCGUGCGCCACGUCGCAUCAUGCGGUAGCAUCGCUCUCUUUGCUUCGAGCUCGCGGCAGCGACGGACGUACUCUCUAGUGCUAAUAGAACGCGUACUUGUACUUGUGUUGAUACACAUUUAGUUGAUGUAAAUGAAUAAAUCUUGUAAGGU